CCGCGGUAAUACGUAGGGUGCGAGCGUUAAUCGGAAUUACUGGGCGUAAAGCGUGCGCAGGCGGUUCCAUAAGACAGAUGUGAAAUCCCCGGGCUUAACCUGGGAACUGCGUUUGUGACUGUGGGACUGGAGUGUGGCAGAGGGGGGUGGAAUUCCACGUGUAGCAGUGAAAUGCGUAGAGAUGUGGAGGAACACCGAUGGCGAAGGCAGCCCCCUGGGUCAACACUGACGCUCAUGCACGAAAGCGUGG
rnacentral:rRNA from 1 species